CUGUUUCUGAUCUAUAACUGCAGCAUACUUGAGUUCUCUAAAAUUUACAACUAUGCAUCUAGAGAAAUUUAGUCUUAUAAUUAUUUCAAACAUUACAUUUUGGACCUCUGUUUUUUAAUUCUGUACACUUGUCAUUGAGAACACAUGCAGUUAGAAUUGUAAUUUUACUACUUUAAUUUGUUAUGAUUUCGCUUCAUGAUGAUUUGGUUUGUCACCUGAAAGAUAUCAAGUCCAUGUGCUGAAGAGUAUCCUGAGAAUUGGAAUUUUUUUUUUUGAAAUAAGAAGUGUAAAUAUAUUAAUAAAGCACUAAGAGGGUGCAGCCCAUGUACAAAAAUAUUACAUAUUUGUUAGGCAAUCUAUUAUAUACCCAAAAUCAAUAAGAGUUUCAAAUCAUGUCCCAAAAUUAAAGAUCCAAAAAAUUGAAACAAUCUAUCUCUAAUUUUAGUGAUAUUAUUCCCUUUUCCUUCAAAAAUCCUAUCAUUCAUUUCCUUCCAAACAACCCAAAAAACAAUAAGAGGACUUAAGUUAAUUGACUUCUUCUUCCCUUUACCCGGGCCUGCCCAAGCUCCCAAUUCCUCUUUGACAGAGCCCGCCACCACCUACUGGGAAUUGGAAAAUAUCCAUAUAAAAAAUGGCAGAAAAAUUAAAUGUCUAUUCACAAGGUAACCGUGGGAUAAUACAACCUGUAUACAAAACUGUCAUGCAUAUUAAAGUAGUUCUUUCCUAUUAGCGUAAGUUUUGGGAUGAUUGAUAUUAUUCUCUUUUCCUUCAAAAAUCCUAUCAUUCCUUUCCUUCCAAACAACCCAAAAAACAAUAAGAGGACUUAAGUUAAUUGACUUCUUCUUCCCUUUACCCGGGCCUGCCCAAGCUCCCAAUUCCUCUUUGACCGAGCCCGCCACCACCUACUGGGAAUUAGAAAAUAUCUAUAUAAAAAAUGGCAGAAAAAUUAAAUGUCUAUUCACAAGGUAACCGUGGGAUAAUGCAACCUGUAUACAAAACUGUCAAGCAUAUUAAAGUAGUUCUUUCCUAUUAAGUUUUGGGAUGAUUGAUUUACUCUUUAACAUAUUAUUAGAACUAGAGGUCUACUAUCAAAAUCCUGUCACCUCCACUUAUAUUACUUAAUAUCAGCACAAAGUGAGGUGGGGAAAUGCAUUAAUACAAAUAAUAGAUUGAGUCAUAUCCUAUCAACUGGCGGUCUGUACUAGACAAGAUUGACUAGGUUUGGCAACUCUGCUUCAUAUUUGAGGAUAUGAUCAUUUAACUUUUGGGAUUCUAAAUUCAGUCAUCACUUCACUGUUGUUCUCUGAGGAGGGAAUUUACUUAUUGGAUCAAUGUUACCGUUCAAAUUAUUCUUUAUUCUUUUUCUCUUAGCUUCUGAUGUGGACCAUCUAGCGUAUAUAGAAGAGAAAUGCUAGAUUUAUAUAUGGUUUACAGAAACUCUUAUGCAAACUGAUGGGGCAACUUAGAUGGGCACUUCAGUUCAAUUAAAUUAACUNNN
rnacentral:lncRNA from 1 species